GCCAACUCCUGCUAACUGCCCUUUGUUGUGGAAAAUAAGAAAUCAUCACAAAUCUCUGGGACUGAAGGAUGACCAUGCCCUUUCAGAAACCCUCUCUCACUGCCCUCGGCCUGGAAACACUACGAGGAGGUGGGCAUCAAGGAUCCAGUUUGCUGAAAGUGUCAAGGUCAUCUGCAACAAAGAAAGUCUGAGAAACUGUCACAGCCAGAAGGGGCCCAGGAGACAUGACAACCAGAGGCUUACUCCACAUCCUUGAAAGUGAUCAGCUAAUUAUUGUAAGACAACACAUGUAUCAAGUUUGGCUCUAUUAGAACUCACAAACAAUUCGAUCUAAAAAUGUCUUUUUACAUGAAAGGGAACAUAAAAAAAAACAAUGGGAAUUUUUUGUGAACCGAGCCCAGAUACCUUGUACCAGUUACACUGAUUUUAAGUAUUAUCCAAGGCUACAUUGGAUCAAAGGCACCUUACGAGGGAUGUCAUGAAUGGCUGCUCAUUGGAUUCAAAGCUGAGAAGCAUCCACAGUCCUGGGUGCUCCUCUGAAGAGGCUGAGGUUCCUGAGGCUCUGUUUGCUUUUCUGUAGGAGAAUAUGGCCUGGAGGCGAAGCAGGACACGGUUCCCACUUAGCGAGGGAAUCUCUUUCUAAUCCUUCUGAAAACAUCUGGGGUUCACCUCCGACAUGAACACCCUCACCUGGUUAUUAUUAAAUGCCCACAUGCCCAUAGUCCUCUAAAAAGCAAGCUGCCCAGAAACCUAAACCAAGGGUGGCAUCACCGGGUGCUGAUCUGAGCCCCUCGCUAAGUGUUGGACUUUCUCUUCACCACGCCCUUGGAAGAGCCACAUCAGUGCCCUUGACCUCAUUCUUUUGUUUUUGCAAGAACUGAACCACCUUGGUUAGGGUUUAAGAAGAACCUACCUUAUGCCAAAUCCCAGAAGCAGACUAGCAUCUGUGCCGGAAGACCUGCUCCAAGUCUGUGGAGAUCGUUCGGAAUCACUGUGCUGUUUUUUCUUUUUUUUUAAAUAUAUUU